CAGAGACUGCAAGCGUCAUUCGGAUUCACUGGGCGUAAAGGGUGCGCAGGCGGUUGGGUGUGUCAGAUGUGAAAUCCCGAGGCUCAACCUCGGAACUGCGUCUGAAACUACUCGACUAGAGUACUGGAGAGGGUAACGGAAUUCACGGUGUAGCAGUGAAAUGCGUAGAUAUCGUGAGGAACACCAGAGGCGAAGGCGGUUACCUGGACAGUUACUGACGCUCAGGCACGAAAGCAUGGGGAGCAAAAGGGAUUAGAUACCCCUGUAGUCCAUGCCCUAAACGGUGCACACUAGGUCUUAGCGGAUUCGACCCCACUAGGGCCCAAGCUAACGCGUUAAGUGUGCCGCCUGAGGACUACGGUCGCAAGACUA
rnacentral:rRNA from 1 species